rnacentral:rRNA from 1 species
UACAGAGGCCUCGAGCGUUAGGCGGAAUCACUGGGCUUAAAGCGUGUGUAGGUGGAUGCCUAAGUACCUUGUGAAAUCCCAUGGCUUAACCAUGGAAUUGCUUGGUAUACUGGGUGUCUUGAGCCACUCAGGGCGAGCGGAACAAACGGUGGAGCGGUGAAAUGCGUAGAUAUCGUUGGAACGCCAAUGGUGAAACGAGCU